UACGAAGGGGGCUAGCGUUGUUCGGAAUUACUGGGCGUAAAGCGCGCGCAGGCGGUCUUCCAAGUCAGUGGUGAAAGCCCGGAGCUCAACUCCGGAACUGCCAUUGAAACUGUGAGACUUGAGGAUGAGAGAGGUGAGUGGAAUUCCCAGUGUAGAGGUGAAAUGCGUAGAGAUCAGGAAGAACACCCGUGGCGAAGGCGGCCCACUGGGCCGGUACUGACGCUGAGGCACGAAGGCGUGGGGAGCGAACGGG
rnacentral:rRNA from 1 species